rnacentral:ncRNA from 2 species
CUCUAGUCCGACUUUGUGAAAUGACU